CUGCUUCGGGCGCCUCUGCGUUCUCGGCCGCGCCCGAAACAACGCCCCUGGCGGCCGGGAGGGGCGGCGGCCGCGCGCCGGGGCCCGUGGGCGGGGCUGCGCACGAGGCUCACGAGCUAGGGUUCGAGCCCCGGCCCUGGCCCCGGCCCUCCCCGAUGUCCCCCCCCCCCCUCCCCCGAGUAAGCGCGUCAGGAACUGUGUUCAUGGCCAGGGGAUAAGACCAGUUCCUACUUCCGGGAGCUGCUGGCACUUUAAGGGAGAUCAGUGUGCACAUGGAUGAGCACCAGCCACAGUGGAAAUCAGGCGGGGACUUGGGGACAGGGAGCGCGAGGUCAACUCGGACUUUGCACACAGGGCAUGGUGACAGGGCCCUGCCGGGAAGUGCAGGGUCGAGCGCUGCACCCCUCUUGACGCUGCUCCUGGCCACGGGCUCCUUGGGCCAGAGGGCUCAGAGACCCCCUCGGCGCCCAUCCCCCAUCAGCACCAUCCAGCCCAAGGCCAGCUUUGAUGCCCAGCAGGUGGAGUUGGGAGGAGGUGGGGGUAGCAGCUCACCCAGCUUUGCAGCCCCCUUCCCAUGUGCCCUCAUGUGGUCUCUUCCCCAGUUUGCAGGGACAUGGCUCCUGGUGGCCGUGGCCUCCUCCUGCCGCUUCCUGCAAGAGCAGGGCCACCGGGCUGAGGCCACUUCACUGCACGUGGCUCCUCAGGGUGCAGCCAUGGCCGUCAGCACCUUCCGAAAGCUGGAUGGGAUCUGCUGGCAGGUGCGGCAGCUCUUCGGAGACACGGGGCUCCCAGGUCGCUUCCUGCUCCAGGCCCGAGGUGCCCGAGGCGCGGUGGACGUGGUCGUCGGGGAGACGGACUACCAGAGCUUUGCCGUCCUGUACCUGGAGAGGGCCCGGCAGCUGUCGGUGAAGCUGUACGGUAAAGGCACACGGGGCUGUCCAGGCGAGCCGGGCGAGCCCGGAUGGACGCGAACCCGUCCCUCUUGCUCCCGCUCUUGUAGAUGGGCCCAGAUGUGGGAACGGGGAGGGGACCAGGAGGGCUGGGGGCCAGGGGUCAGACCGCAACCCCAGGCACACAGCCCACCCCACCCGCGGGUGCCCAGGAGCCCCAUGUGUCCUGCACGCAGCCCGCUCGCUCCCCGUGAGCGAAUCAGCCCUGAGUGUCUUUGAGCAGCGGGUCCAGGGGGCCAACCUGACCGAGGACCACAUCCUGUUCUUCCCCAAGUACGGCUUCUGCGAGGCUGCAGACCAGUUCCACGUCCUGGACGAAGCAAAGCAGUGAGGCCCGGGCCUUGCCGCCGAGAGAGAGCCACAAGCUGGAAGUGUGGGCACCCGCCACUCCUGGCCGAGCAGGGGCCUCUCCCAUCUGCCCCGGAUGCUGCCACCGCCCCCCUCACGAGCUCGGGGUGCCACCUUCAUUAAACACUGUCGGUCUCA